UACGGGGGGGAGCAAGCGUUGUUCGGAUUUACUGGGCGUAAAGGGCGCGUAGGCGGUCAGUGCAAGUCAGUUGUGAAAUCUCCGGGCUUAACUCGGAAAGGUCAACUGAUACUGCUCGACUAGAGUGCGGAAGGGGCAACUGGAAUUCUUGGUGUAGCGGUGAAAUGCGUAGAUAUCAAGAGGAACACCUGCGGCGAAGGCGGGUUGCUGGGCCGACACUGACGCUGAAGCGCGAAAGCUAGGGGAGCGAACGGG
rnacentral:rRNA from 1 species